rnacentral:misc_RNA from 1 species
GAUGAAGAACGUAGCGAAAUGCGAUAAGUAAUGUGAAUUGCAGAAUUCAGUGAAUCAUCGAAUCUUUGAACGCACAUUGCGCCCCCUGGUAUUCCGGGGGGCAUGCCUGUCCGAGCGUCAUUACAACCCUCAAGCUCAGCUUGGUGUUGGGCCCCGCCGCCCCGGCGGGCCCUAAAGUCAGUGGCGGUGCCGUCCGGCUCCGAGCGUAGUAAUUCUUCUCGCUCUGGAGGUCCGGUCGUGUGCUUGCCAGCAACCCCCAAUUUUUUUCAGGUUGACCUCGGAUCAGGUAGGGAUACCCGCUGAACUUAAGCAUAUCAAUAACGGAGGA